rnacentral:RNase_MRP_RNA from 1 species
GCUAGAGGAAAGUCCCCGGAUGAAUCGGUAGAGAUACCGCUCCUACAGGAGUUGUCAGUCGGGAUCAAUCUUAGGAAAGGAUUCGCCUUGAGCGAUGAUCCAGACGAACAUUCGGCAGGCUCUUUUAGUCUAAUCACAUUAACGCUUUGGUACAUCGAAGCUAACCGUGCUUGGAAGAGCAUUCUUCCGGGUGGUCAAUGACUAGAUGAGUCCCCUCAGUGGGCUCAUCCGCCUCAGCUUGUGCCAAGAACAGAACGGGGCUUACCUUC